AUUGAACGCUGGCGGCAGGCCUAACACAUGCAAGUCGAGCGGAAACGGCAGUAUUGAAGCUUCGGUGGAUUUACUGGACGUCGAGCGGCGGACGGGUGAGUAACGGCUGGGAACCUGCCCUGACGGGGGGGAUAACCGUUGGAAACGACGGCUAAUACCGCAUAAUGUCUACGGACCAAAGGUGGCCUCUACAUGUAAGCUAUCGCGUUGGGAUGGGCCCAGUUAGGACUAGCUAGUUGGUAAGGUAACGGCUUACCAAGGCGACGAUCCUUAGCUGGUUUGAGAGGAUGAUCAGCCACACUGGGACUGAGACACGGCCCAGACUCCUACGGGAGGCAGCAGUGGGGAAUAUUGCACAAUGGGGGAGACCCUGAUGCAGCCAUGCCGCGUGUGUGAAGAAGGCCUUCGGGUUGUAAAGCACUUUCAGCAGUGAGGAAGGUAGUGUACUUAAUACGUGCAUUGCUUGACGUUAGCUGCAGAAGAAGCACCGGCUAACUCUGUGCCAGCAGCCGCGGUAAUACGGAGGGUGCGAGCGUUAAUCGGAAUUACUGGGCGUAAAGCGCAUGCAGGCGGUUUGUUAAGUCAGAUGUGAAAGCCCGGGGCUCAACCUCGGAACCGCAUUUGAAACUGGCAGGCUAGAGUCUUGUAGAGGGGGGUAGAAUUUCAGGUGUAGCGGUGAAAUGCGUAGAGAUCUGAAGGAAUACCAGUGGCGAAGGCGGCCCCCUGGACAAAGACUGACGCUCAGAUGCGAAAGCGUGGGUAGCAAACAGG
rnacentral:rRNA from 1 species